AAUUGUAGUAGCUGUAGUAAUUAUUUAAGUAAUAGUAGUAGUGGUUGUAGUAGGGGGUGGGUUGUAGAAGUAAGGGUUGUGGGGUCAGGAAUAGUAGGUUCAAGAGCGUGCUGAUUCUUGUAGUGAUAGUUAUAGUGGUCUAAGUAGUCGUAGUAAUGAUAUAAGUAGUAGUAGUAGUAGUAGUAGUAGUAGUAGGUGGGUUUUAGUAGUAAGGGUUGUGGGGUCAGAAAUAGUAGGUUCAAGAGGGUGCUAAUUCUUGUAGUGAUACUUAUAGUGGUCUAAGUAGUCGUAGUAAUGAUAUAAGUAGUAGUAGUAGUAGUAGUAGGGGGUAGGUUGUAGAAGUAAGGGUUGUGGGGUCAGGAAUAGUAGGUUUAAGAGCGUGCUGAUUCUUGUAGUGAUAUUUAUAGUGGUCUAAGUAGUCGUAGUAGUGAUUUAAGUAGUAGUAGUAGUAGUAGUAGGGGGUAGGUUGUAGAAGUAAGGGUUGUGGGGUCAGGAAUAGUAGGUUUAAGAGCGUGCUGAUUCUUGUGGUGAUACUUAUAGUGGUCUAAGUAGUUGUAGUAAUGAUAUAAGUAGUCGUAGUAAUGAUAUAAGUAGUAGUAGUAGUAGGGGGUAGGUUUUAGUAGUAAGGGUUGUGGGGUCAGGAAUAGUAGGUUCAAGAGGGUGCUGAUUCUUGUAGUGAUAGUUAUAGUGGUCUAAGUAGUCGUAGUAGUGAUUUAAGUAGUAGUAGUAGUAGGGGGUAGGUUUUAGUAGUAAGGGUUGUGGGGUCAGGAAUAGUAGGUUCAAGAGGGUGCUGAUUCUUGUAGUGAUAGUUAUAGUGGUCUAAGUAGUCGUAGUAGUGAUUUAAGUAGUAGUAGUAGUAGUAGUAGUAGGGGGUAGGUUUUAGAAGUAAAGGUUGUGGGGUCAGGAAUAGUAGGUUCAAGAGCAUGCUGAUUCUUGUAGUGAUACUUAUAGUGGUCUAAGUAGUCGUAGUAAUGAUUUAAGUAGUAGUAGUAGUAGUAGUAGUAGUAGUAGGGGGUAGGUUUUAGUAGUAAAGGUUGUGGGGUCAGGAAUAGUAGGUUUAAGAGCAUGCUGAUUCUUGUAGUGAUACUUAUAGUGGUCUAAGUAGUCGUAGUAAUGAUUUAAGUAGUAGUAGUAGUAGUAGUAGGGGGUAGGUUUUAGUAGUAAGGGUUGUGGGGUCAAGAAUAGUAGGUUUAAGAGCAUGCUGAUUCUUGUAGUGAUACUUAUAGUGGUCUAAGUAGUCGUAGUAAUGAUUUAAGUAGUAGUAGUAGUAGUAGUAGGGGGUAGGUUUUAGUAGUAAGGGUUGUGGGGUCAAGAAUAGUAGGUUUAAGAGCGUGCUGAUUCUUGUAGUGAUACUUAUAGUGGUCUAAGUAGUCGUAGUAAUGAUAUAAGUAGUAGUAGUAGUAGUAGUAGGGGGUAGGUUUUAGUAGUAAGGGUUGUGGGGUCAGGAAUGGUAGGUUUAAGAGCGUGUUGAGUCUUGUAGUGAUACAUAUAGUGGUCUAAGUAGUCGUAGUAAUGAUUUAAGUAGUAGUAGUAGUAGUAGUAGUAGUAGUAGUAGUAGUAGUAGGGCUUGGGUUGUAGAAUUAAGGGUUAUGGGGUGAAUAGUAAUAGUCUCUCUCUCUCUCUCUCUCUCUCUCAAAAUCAAUUUAAAUCAGAGUAAAAAAAUCAUAAUUCAAAUUAAAAUCAAAUAUACUGUUUUUAAAAUGAUGAAAGUGUUAUAUAUAUAUCUAACAAUUUAAAUUAUACAUAUAUAUACUUCAAAAUCUGAAGUGCGGU